rnacentral:rRNA from 1 species
UGUACACGCUGUGACUAGCAUAUCAAUAAGCGGAGGAAAAGAAACUAACUAGGAUUCCCUCAGUAACGGCGAGUGAAGCGGGAAGAGCUCAAAUUUGAAAUCUUCAAGGUUUUACCCUGACGAAUUGUAGUUUAAAGAAGUGUUUUCUGUUGAAGUUUUGGUAAAAGUUCUUUGGAAUAGGACAUCAUAGAGGGUGAGAAUCCCGUAUUUGACCAUUAUUUUCAGCUGUGUGAUACACUUUCAAAGAGUCGGAUUGUUUGGGAAUGCAGUCCAAAAUGGGUGGUAAAUUUCAUCUAAAGCUAAAUAUUGGCGAGAGACCGAUAGCGAACAAGUACCGUGAGGGAAAGAUGAAAAGAACUUUGAAAAGAGAGUUAAACAGUACGUGAAAUUGUCAAAAGGGAAGCGUUUGACACCAGUGUUGUUUUCUCGAAAAUCAAUUAAAAAAGGCAGGAUUUUGUGUUGUAUUGACUUUAUCAGCUUUCUGCACUCUUUUCUUGUCUUUUUUAAUGCACUUUUCGUUUAACAAGGUCAACAUCAAUUUCUUUUGUUGUAAAAGGGUCAUUGGAAGGUGGCUUUCUUUUCGGAGAAAGUGUUUAUAGCCUUUGGCCUCUGCAAUCGGAGAGAUUGAGGUCUGCAGCGUAGAUCCUCGGGGUUAGAUACAUUUGUGCUAAGUUAUAGCCUUUCAUAGACAACUUGUUGACUAUGAUCAGUCAUGUAGCUUACUCGCUUAUGCUAUUUUACCUACGCUUAGGAUGUUGAAGACUCUACAGAGAUA